rnacentral:rRNA from 1 species
AAACGUAGGAGGCGAGCGUUAUCCGGAUUUACUGGGCGUAAAGCGUGUGCAGGCGGUUUGAUAAGUUGGAUGUGAAAGCUCCUGGCUUAACUGGGAGAGGUCGUUCAAAACUAUCAGACUAGAGAGUGGUAGAGGGAGAUGGAAUUCCGCGUGUAGUGGUGAAAUGCGUAGAUAUGCGGAGGAACACCAGUGGCGAAAGCGGUCUCCUGGCCCAUUUCUGACGCUCAGACACGAAAGCUAAGGUAGC